ensembl:lncRNA novel transcript
UAUAUGAGGAAAUUCACCUCUGGGGUGGCAAUGAUUAACUUAAUAUACAUCCAGCUAUUAAAAAUGAUGAUGCCAGGAUAUAUUUACUGCCAUAGAAGCAAGCCCAAAAUAUAGAGUGUUUGGUAAACUUCACCAUGUCUAUAUGUCUGUGUCUUUGCACCUGGUGGUCUCUGCUUGGAAUGAUGUCUCAAGGUUUUAUUCACCUGGAAAGAAUUCCUACUCACCCUUAAAGACUCAGCUUAAAUAACCCCUUCUCUGCUCUCAUACAAAGAUGACCCAAGGACAGAGGCAACAGAGGGCAGUGCAGGGUAGUGCAAGAAGCUCUGGCUCUAGGACUAAUUGGACGAGGUCUGAAUCUUAACUCUGGCACCUGUUAGUGAAGCAGCCUCAAGCAAAUCACUUAAUGCUUCUGUACUUCCUUUAUUGUUUUGUAAAUAAAGAAAAUUCAAUC